GCCUGGCUGGCUCAGUCGAUUAAGCAUCUGACUUUUGCUCAGGUCAUGAUCUCACUGUUCGUGGGUUUGAGCCCCGCAUCAGGUU
rnacentral:tRNA from 1 species